ensembl:lncRNA
CUAAACCAGGACUAAACCAGGACUAAACCAGGACUAAACCAGGACUAAACCAGGACCAAACCAGGUCUAAACCUGGACUAAACCAGGACUAAACCCGGACUAAACCAGGACUAAACCAGGACUAAACCAGGACUAAACCCGGACUAAACCCGGACUAAACCAGGACUAAACCAGGACUAAACCAGGACUAAACCCGGACUAAACCCAGACUAAACCAGGACCAAACCAGGACCAAACCAGGACUAAACCAGGACUAAACCAGGUCUAAACCAGGACUAACCCAGGACUAAACCAGGACUAAACCAGGUCUA